rnacentral:rRNA from 1 species
AUUGAACGCUGGCGGCAUGCCUUACAUAUGCAAGUCGAACGGCAGCACGGGAGCAAUCCUGGUGGCGAGUGGCGAACGGGUGAGUAAUACAUCGGAACGUGCCCAGUAGUGGGGGAUAACCCGGCGAAAGCCGGACUAAUACCGCAUACGACCUACGGGUGAAAGCGGGGGAUCGCAAGACCUCGCGCUAUCGGAGCGGCCGAUGUCAGAUUAGCUAGUUGGUGGGGUAAAGGCCUACCAAGGCGACGAUCUGUAGCUGGUCUGAGAGGACGACCAGCCACACUGGGACUGAGACACGGCCCAGACUCCUACGGGAGGCAGCAGUGGGGAAUUUUGGACAAUGGGCGCAAGCCUGAUCCAGCCAUGCCGCGUGCGGGAAGAAGGCCUUUGGGUUGUAAACCGCUUUUGUCAGGGAAGAAACGCUCCGGGCUAAUACCACGGAGUAAUGACGGUACCUGAAGAAUAAGCACCGGCUAACUACGUG